AAUUGAUCACUGAAGCCAUGGAAAAAGAGUUGGUCAUACCUGCAGCUUUUGAAUUGUUCAUAUGUUUUCCAUCUAGAUCAUGUGUUCUGUAUGACCGCACCAUCUUAGUUACAAAUAUUAAUGCCAACAUUAAAAUUCUUCCGUAGGAUGAUCCAGAAACACCGGCAACAUGCAAGGAUGACAUGAGAACAGAUCAUGGUCCAGAACACACCAUUGAUGAUCCAGAAACACCGGCAACAUGCAAGGAGGACAUGAGAACAGAUCACGGUCCAGAACACACCAUUGUGCUGUCUGGGCAAGACUUGGCAGUCAGCCCCAUUGAAAUCGUGCCUGUUGAGGAGGAUGUACCCGACUCUCUACGUUGUUCUGAGCUCCAGCUCACAGCUAGCAGCGAUCAUGGG